GAUGAACGCUGGCGGCGUGCCUAAUACAUGCAAGUCGAGCGAACGGACGAGAAGCUUGCUUUUCUGAUGUUAGCGGCGGACGGGUGAGUAACACGUGGAUAACCUACCUAUAAGACUGGGAUAACUUCGGGAAACCGGAGCUAAUACCGGAUAAUAUUUUGAACCGCAUGGUUCAAAAGUGAAAGACGGUCUUGCUGUCACUUAUAGAUGGAUCCGCGCUGCAUUAGCUAGUUGGUAAGGUAACGGCUUACCAAGGCAACGAUGCAUAGCCGACCUGAGAGGGUGAUCGGCCACACUGGAACUGAGACACGGUCCACACUCCUACGGGAGGCAGCAGUAGGGAAUCUUCCGCAAUGGGCGAAAGCCUGACGGAGCAACGCCGCGUGAGUGAUGAAGGUCUUCGGAUCGUAAAACUCUGUUAUUAGGGAAGAACAUAUGUGUAAGUAACUGUGCACAUCUUGACGGUACCUAAUCAGAAAGCCACGGCUAACUACGUG
rnacentral:rRNA from 1 species